GCAGAUUAGAUUUUUCUCUCCCUCCCCCUGCGAGACCUCUGUGUGCUUUGACGUCAUGUGUGCUCCUUUCAGUUGCCAUAGCAGCCCCAUUCCCCAAGCUCUCUGCCUGUCUCCUCUGGUAGGUUCCACAAUGGUACAGCCAGCAUCACGCUGCACAAUGGUUUCCAGGCAGUGAAAGAGCGUGAUUCAGCAAGCCACUCUUCCCCCCCUCCCCUUUUAUUUCAUUAUUAUCAGACAUUUUGCCUCCCCUUUUUCUGUUCUCUUCUACCCUCUUCCCCAGGCUUUUAUUCAGUUCUUUAAAGGAAUACGGUGAUUUACCUUGAAACCAACUGCCCAUCUUUUUUUUUUUUCUUUUCCUUUUUUUCCUUUUUUUUCCCCCCCUCUAUUGUUAUAAAUAGCCCAUUUUUUUUUCUUUGGCACUGUUUGGAAUGUGAUUUUAAAAAUACCACCUAAAGUCGCAGUUUGGGGAAAAGGUUUCUGGACGAGGAGAAUAGCUGGCGAGCAAGGAAUGCUGUCUUCCACUGGGACAGAGGUGGAACUUCGACAGACUGCGUGUGUUGAGCAGUGCUCCCCAGAUUUGCAGCUCUCCCCAGGAAGACCUGACAACAAUUGCAAGUGUGUCACCUGGACAAAAUGUAAAACUUCGCUGUCAGACUAUCCUAUCCCUGGUAUUUAUGAGCCGCCAUUUCUUGUAUUAUUUUGGUGA
rnacentral:lncRNA from 1 species